UAAUAACGGGCUGGGUGUGUGUGUGCGUGUGGGGGUGCAAAGCAGCCUCAGCAAGCCCAGCUCCUUCUUAUGACCCGCCGGCAAAGGUGAUCAUGUUAAUUCAGGAGACGCCCAAUAUUGGCACACAAGCCGAACGAAACCUCCUCAGAGAAACGGGCGCUCAGCAUCAUCAGCAUCCAGUGACGACGUCCAUGAGGAGAUGAAGGUGAGCCAGCCUUUCUGAUCAAAGCACCCGUCUAUAAAGCUCAAGGCUGGCCUUCCUCGGUGGGGAUGUCAACACAUCUACUUCUAAGUCAAGGCAGAGGGAUGGGAAAAGGAGACCGGAAUGACUAGAAGCCCCCGCAGGCAUCUGCCACUCAUCUGCCACUCAACCGAUGCAGAUCCAGUGUGAUUUUUAACUCCUUAAUACUUGAUUGUAUUAUCUCGGGCGUGAUAAAAUAAGUCAGUGUUUCAGCCGAGAGCAACAAAGUGUCAGUCAGAAACUGCAGUGAAGAUAUGCUAAAAGGUUUUCUGUGCUUCUGGCGCAGACAAGCAGAUACAGAGCAGAUUAUGCUUUAUUAGCUGUUCAUGGAGACUUAAUUGUGAGAUCAAAGUUAACAGUGUUCCAUCGGUGCGAGGCAGAGCAGAUUUCAUUAGGCUGAGUAAUAUCAGCGCAAUAAUAGUGUCAUCUGCGCACAGCAAGUUCAGAGGAUCUUAAUAAUAUUUCUGGACAAACUGGAAGAGGAAAUUCAUCCGCACGAAUGGCAAAAUGUCUCCAAGCUUAUAGGAAAACAGUAAUAAACAAGAGAUACAGCGGAAUUUGGCUUGAUGGUUGCACUCUGCAGCUGCCCUGGUCAAUCAGAAAUAUCACACCCAAGACUAAAACAAAUCCACUCAUGCAGAAUCCAGUAACAAAGUAAUAUAAUGGACAUACAUGGGAAAAAAGAUGCAAACGAUCCACAGUUCACAGACCAGGAGGAGGAGUAGCCCGAAAAAUCUGAGGAGAUGAUCUCAAAUCAUUAUGAAGUGUGUUAAAAUCUACUUAAAAGAUCAAAGUGAGCCUAAUUUAUGGUUAAAAACUUAGGUUGAAGAGACACACACACAGUUACAGUGUUUAUGUUGAAUGCUGCAACUUAGGUCCUAAGUGUAUAGCAUAUACCCAGCCCCUUAAUGUAGUAGAAUAUGAUAUAGUGGGCAGUAUUAGGGAUGGUGUGCUUCACCUUGUAAUUAGUAGUGGAGGGAUAAUAGCUGUUUCCUGUGCAUUGCAUCUCUAAGAUAAAGAAACUAUUAUUCAGAUGUUGUGAUUGUUUGCUGCUACUUCCAGAAUUUAAUCUAAGUGCUGUCAUAAAGUUCCCACCAUAUAAAGGAAAAGAAAGAAAAAACACCUGAUUUUAGUUUGGUUAAUCUACCCUAUCUUUAUCCUCGCGCUCUUAGGCAGCUCAAGUGGUGAUGCUAUUUUUAGAUCUUUCCUGGAAGACCCAUUUCAACCACUCGCCCUCAUGCAUUUGCAAUGUGUGCUGCAUCCUUCAGUGGGCAAAAUUGUGGCUCUUAGUAGAGGACAAGUUGGUUUUAGGAUGUUACAGUAGAACUUGGCAUUGAUAGGCUGACCCUGGGGCAUGAAUUUAUGGUUCAGGAUUCUGUGAACGCCAAAAAAACUAGUGAGCAUGCUUCUUGUCAUUCUCCUGACCAAAUGCACCGCCGUUAGGUUUGGACACAUUGAUCGCUUUCACUGAAACCUGCCGUUUUGUGAUAUUGAAUUUAUUUGCUGUCUGCAAACACGGUAUAUCAACUUCAUGGUGAAUGAGGCUUCAAGCAAGUGCUCUAACUAUAUGGAAGAACUGCAGAGGUGCACGAGGGGGUGAUGUUGAAGGGAUAUCAGCCAAAUUUAAAUCAGGUAAUAUUAUUUGAUUUCAUUACUGAGGAGUCAAACAAGUUUGUGAUCUGACUACUGAGGUGUAAGAAUUCCUAAAAGCCCUUUCCCUCAUUAAAAAUAACUUGACUCUAUUAUUUGUGAGGCUGAGGGGGUUACAGCAUCAGUGCUAUGUUGCUAAUUAAAGGCCCAGGACUUCUCCACUGAGAGAUCUUGAAAACACAUCUUGGAAACUUCCUGCGUAACAGAUGUUUGCAGUCAAGUCAAAUGAAAACCACACAGUACUCCUGAAAAAGAUCAAGAAUAGCUGAUUGUUACAGGCCCAUUAUUAAACAUCAGCAUUAACCGUUAUCCAAAAGUUAAAUCAUUCUUAUAUACAGACUAUAGCAGUCAAAACAUGGACCGAAUAUGUGGCAGACUGCCACUGUUGCUUUAGCACUGACCCUACAUGACCCCUCCUCUCACUGACUGGUCUCAGAUGGCUGACUCUUUUUUUCUUUUCUUUUCUUUUUUGUCCUUUUUCACAAACACAUCUAUCAAUUUACACACAUACAUAAGUAGAACUCUCACUUAAACUCAGCUUAAUGCGUUUGGCAGCUCUUUGACCCACUCAGGCACAUAAGCACCCAUCUUCAGAGAAGAAGUGGUGAGUCUGCCUAGCACGGUGCUGAGCCGCUGACCUCAUGAAGCUGUAGGUUAGAUGGUGGGGUUAACACCGGGUCUCCCUCAGCUGCUCCCUGUUAAUAUUGCAUCAGUGGAGUGCUGUUUUAAAGUGUCAGGAAGCCUGAUACCCACUUACCUCACCUUUACAGAGGCAGGAAUCUACGCAGGUGACAAAUUAAAAGAGAAAUCUGAACCACUUCAUCUUGUAGAGCGAGUAUGCCCCCGUUCAAUGGGCAGAAGGGUCACUGAAUGAUUAUCAAAAUUCUCUGACUCAUGUUAUACGGUGUUCACAGUCACUACAACUGAAUUAAAAUGAACACCUGUUGGAGAAAGGAUAUAUUUUCUUUUCCAAAGCCUAUCCAAGUUGUUUUUGGUGUCUAAAUCCAAAGAAGUAGUUUUGAGGUCUAAUUUUUAGCCAGUAAGAGAAAGUGGAAAGAAGAGGCAGUGCGGAUGAAACUAAAAUGCUGAACACAAAGGUCCAAACCUUGUGUCACUUGCUUUACUGCCAGCCCUUCACCCUCCAAGUCUGGACUUGGUCUCUUUGUGAAAGAGGCCUGCUAUCUCUUAGCAUCUAAUACUGGUGCAACCAGUGCAUCAAGGUAUCAACAUCACAGGAAACCUUGUGCGUGUCUCUGCAACAUCAGUGGUAUUUGACAGAACAGCAAUAUUUGACACUCUGUGCUGAAAAUAUUUUGACAUUCCAGUCUCUGGUUGUGUAUGUGACCUUCUUGUAUAUCAUGUGUUGUAUUCUUUGAUUCCAUUUAUAGUUGCUUCAUUGAUUCGCCUCAAAGAUAACAUUUCUUUAAUCUGGAAGCCAGCCAUUUUGCUUUGUCAACACACAUCGCUGCCAGUCUCUUUCUGUGUGUAUGCCCCUUCACAGAGGGCCUUCCACUACCAUCAUUACAGCAAAUGAAGCCAUAUCUCUUUGAAGAAUGUGUCACAGUUUGGUAGAAGCAAUGCGUUGAAGCUGUGCUGUCAACAUACGGUGGCCCAACACCUUAGUAAGGCCCUGGUCACACAGGCUUAGAGACCGGUCAGUGAUUUCAUCAUAACCUUUAGUUGCUAGAGUAAAAUAUGUAUUCCACAACCAGGUGACUUAGGGUUGCUGUAUUGCAAAGAUGUUAAUAUUCUACUAAAAAGCUUCUUGAGAUUACUUUGGUAAUCAACAGGUUUCUGCAGCCACCCAUAGUUUGCAGGGAAAUACCAGUUUGUCUGUGAAAUCUCACCACCUACUCACUAAGCAAUAGUGAAACUAUGAAAAGCACGACCAUUCAGAGUAAAUGUUGCGCUCUACCGCUGCAACCAACAUGUUUGAAAAGGCAACACUUUUACUUUGAGGUCUCCAUUUCCAGCAUUCAUUGAACUCUCAAGUUUCACUACCAGGAACCAGCGAUUAACAAGUGUUUGCAGACAUAUCAGUAUCUUCUAUGUAAUUAUGUUGGACUGCAGCAACUUGUAAGCAACUAAGCAUUUCUUCGGAGGACCAUCAACUGGACUCCAGGCAUGUGUGACGGAGGCAUAAGACGCCUUAAUUUGUCACCCAUGUGUGUAUCUUUGGUCAGUCUGGGUUCCUGCUGGCUGAUACCAGAAGGGAACUCGGUGUUCUGAGUAGUGAGCUGUUAUUUUACUGAUCAUAUAAUGACUUUUUUUUUUUUUGCAAAACAUCAGACCUAAAGGCAAAUGGCCUUCUUGGUAACCUGAUGAUAAUACAUUUUUAGGAUACACUAAGUAUUUGAAUGAAAAACAAGUCAUUACCAUUUGAGAAAAUGUUUGAAGAAAACAGCAGUGGGCUUGCAUGCAUCCUUUAAAAUAUUGCCCUACACCUGCGCAACCAUUGAUGCACAUGCCACCCCUAUUUGACUUCAUUUGUUACACAUGACGGCGCUGCAGCAGGUGUUUCUGUUGUAUACGUGCAGCAAGUGUGUGACCGUGAGGCUAAACUCAAACGGCGGCCAGCGGAAUCAAAGAGCAUAAGAAAGAGGGUGUAGACUGAGGGGAUAAUAGUGUUGUGUCACUCCGUGGUUUGCAGAAAAAAAGAUUAAAUGAGCUUUUAGUAGUCGAGGAAACUGAGGGAAUCAAACACUUCCUGGCUUUAAAGUGGAAACAGCGGAGACUUCCUCCCUCAUAUGCAGGUAGAGGAGGCACCAUCAGGGAGGAACAAAGACGCAGAGUCUAAACACGAGGCUUUACACCAUCACCACCUCUGACUUGGAGGAGACAGAGGAAGCUUGUGUCUGCAUGUGUGCAAGGGGGUGUGUGCGCUAGCUUGUUGGCCUCUCUUGGGGUGGUAACACACACCAUGGUGAUGCGGGAGGGGGUGACCGGCUCAGCGGUGAUUUCUGUGAAGCUCAUUCCACAACCGGUCACAGGGUUAAGUGCCAUAGUCAUACACCCAAAUGCAGACACACACACACACACACACGAACACUGGAGCCAUUGAGUCGAAUGUACAGAGUAGACGCCACUGGAGGGGGUUCCUCUCUCUCUCACUCUCCUUCUGUCUCACACACGCGCACAAACACGCAGACACUCUUACACACACGCAUGAUAAAACGGGAGCUGAAAGGAGAGAGUGACCACACAGGCUGCAGGAGAUUUAUGACCGACAUCCUUUGAUUUCUGCGUAAUUUGGAGCUAUUGUACACACUGCACUGGAGUAAUUAGAACAAUGGUGAAUUCUCCAGUGAGAAGCAGGUUACCUCCCCUAAAUGAUAAAACAAAGAUUGUUUUUAUUUACGUUUAGCUGUAUCUAUCCAUGCAGAAAUCUCAGAUGUGUCAAGAUCUUAUCAUAUUACACAGUGUGUAUGGUAAAUAUCUACUCAUGCAGGCAGAUGCUACUAUCCAAGGAAAAACCAGUAAACAGGUUUCUACUGACUCACGUUGAUGUACGUUGUUCAUGUACGUGCACAACGGCAACACCUGCCACUGUCUCUGAAGGUAGUUGAUGAAAUGUUAUAGUAUUGACGUAGCAUCAGUGUUUUCCUUUUACACUUUCUUUGCUAGCAAUUUCCUGUUCACGCAGUUGUUUUUCCAUUUGCUGAUUUCUUUUGUUUUCAGUCAGCGUUUGGUUAGGUUUAGGCUGAGUCAGAGUGGCAGCUGGUUCAAUUAUUGAUUAAAAGGAAAGGAAAAGUCCUUCAUUGUUCCCCUUCUCAUGUCCUUUAGCAAACCAUACACUGGACUAUCUUUAGUAAAGGAAGGAAAAAAUCCUUUAAAGUGACACGCAAAGAAACAGAGCAUAUAAAUUACUGCUACAAAUAAUGUGUUGUUUUUAUUUUAACAGGUUUAUUACAUUCUUGUCCUGCAUGAAACAUUUUUGGAUUGUGGGUUUAGAAAAGUGCUCUAUAAAUAAAGACCUUAAAAGGAUCAAAGUUAACAGUGUAGCGUAGAAGAAAGCAGCACAGACAUAGCUGAAAAAGUUUUGAAUGAAUUCUGAUAAAAUUUUGUCGAGUGUAGAGUGGGCUCAUGUUAACAAUCCAUUAAAAUCUGAAAUGUCUUCAAUGUCAGCGUAAUGAUUUAUUGGUUGAAAAUAGACAAAAUGCUUUAGAACUUUAGAAAAUAUGAUUCUUUCUGUGAUGUGUGUUAUCAACAUAUAGAAAGUACAGUGUAACAAUUUAAAAUAUCAUGUCAUUUGACCUCUGACCUCUCCUUUAAGGUCAUUAGAUUAACCUUAAGUUCAAAGUCAUAAUAAUGCCAUGUAGAGGUAUUUAAAACUAUGUUUCUCACUGCCUCUGUUUGUAUUAACAACAUAUAGGCAUAUAGGUGAUGAUGUAUGGGGGUUCUAAAUAUCACGUUAUUUUACAAUUUGAAAACAUGGACAAUGUCCCUGAACAGGUUUUGUUAUUAUUUUGGAAAACAAAAUGAAAUUGUCAUCAAAAACCUUUUUUCACUUGAUAUUUAUUACUAAAUAUUUAAAUAAAUGCUACAAAUUUAUUAUAUCCACAUAAAUAAAAUACAAUUAAAAAAAUAACAGAGUGGGCUGCCUUGGCAGAGGUUUGUGUUCUUGGAGUGCUUCUUGUUUCUCUAUAUUUUAAUAGUCUGUUUGGUGUUUUGCUGUUUGGUACAAUAAUGCUGGCAUAUACAAAGAAACUGAAACGCUGGUGUAGCUUGUAUACUGGUGUAACGCUAAUAGUAGUAGGCUUAAAUUUGAGCUGGCUUUGAGGAUUAUCGUUAAUUUAUUUGUCUGGACUUACCUUACCUUUCAUUGUCCAUGUAUCCAGCCUUACAGUGCAUUCUGGUAGUGUGCCGUUGUGUUUCGUGGAAUGGGGGAACAUGUCACUCACUCUUCAUUUGCACAACCUCCUUGGUGUGAAACCUCUAGAAACGUCGAAACGUUGAAAAACUUCGAAAGCGGCCAUUGUUGAGCUAAAAUGAAGAUUGAUGCAGCACCUGCAGGCCUUAUGUCUUGCCUCACGUUUCCAGAAACAUGUCACGCUGGGCUGUUAUUAGAACUUAGAAGAAAGUUUGCAAACGGGCAGCCAUGUUGGUUUCAUUUUGAAAUCAGGCAAAAAGAUCAGCCCAGUCAGGUACUGUUUGUGAGGCUGUAGGAGGCUGUAGGGGAGGGAAAGCACCUGUCAAUCAUUUACCACAUAUGUAGCGGCUUGCACAUCCAGUGCUGGAAACAGAUAUGAUUCAUUGCCUGCAAAAAGGGAAAAAAAGCACAUACACUUUAAGUUGAAAUUACAGAUAACAUCACACCUUUAGGGGCAGGUUACGUAGAAAUUCUAUUUAAAUUGCGGCACUCUUUGUCUCGCUGACAGACCCACAGACAGUUGGAUUGUGGACGUGGUUCUGUGCAGCUCCAGAGAAAGCUAGUAUGGUACUGUAGCUUGGCUGGGCUGCAGAGCAUCUGUCUUUGUGUCUUUGUGUCUGGGGUAAACCCCUGCUGCUGCCGAGCUUUUGUCUCUUCCUGAUCGGCUCUAAUGCUGCAGCACUAAUUGUUUAACACAGAAACACGUCUUUUCUCCCUUUAAUGUUUUUGUUUUUAUUGUCGUCGAUGCAUUUAUUACAAAACCUUUGUGGAUUUUGAACACGAGCCUCUUUCGCCUCUUCUCCUCCUCCUCCUCCUCUCACCCUCCACCACUCUCUUCUUCUUCUUCCUUUUCCUCUCUCUCUCUCUCUCUCUCUCUCUCUCUCUGAUUUUCUCUCUCCAAAAUGCCCGCCCUGAGAAAGGCAAGAAAAAAAAAGAAAAUGUGAACAUCAGCAAAAAAUGGAUGUCUGGCAAGUUGCAUCAUUUUCAGAAACAAACAGUGUGAAACGGUGUUAGCCAGCCUAUUAGCAUAUAUACAUAAAGACCGUGUGUGCGUGCCCGUCUCCAAAAUAAAAGGAAAACACAAAAAGAGGCAAACGUUACUCUCCGCUACCCGUGACGGAGGUUUCUCAAAGAGAUAGAGCUCUGGGUAAACAUGUGAUCGCCACAGAUCCAAUCAGCUCAAACAAAGGGGAUAAGCAAUGGAGCUGGGUGAAUUUUAUCGUGUGUGUGUGUGUGCGCGCGUCUGUGUGUUCACUGUAAUGUAGGUGUGCAUCUAUACUAUGGUGUGCCAUGUUGCUCAUAGUAAAAGUGCAUAAGAAAAGGGAGAAGAGGAAGCCAGGCACCACUGUUAUCAUUUGCAUCAUAAUGGUAAACUGAUAUGAAUAGCGCCGAUGCUAAGCUCUUAACGUGCAUGAAAAUUGCUUACCUUCAAGAAAUGUGUCGCCACUUUCGUGUUUAUGUGCGGGUAUUGUUUUGCGGUUUCAUCAUACUUUUUCCUCACGACACACACACAGAAAAGUCUCACUGAGGUAUUACUGCUUUCUCAAAUUAGCAGCAUGAAUAUGAAUCAGCUUUUCAUUCUAGGUUUGUUACUUUCAAGUGUCAAAUAAACACUGAAACCUUUAGCACGGAAAACAGACAGAGAGAUUAAGUGAUACCGUGAAUACUCUCUUAAGGUUAAAAAAAUCCCACUUUUGUCUUAUGCUUGACCCUGAAUUUUAAGACGCAGGUCCUACCAGAUACUUCUGCCUUGAAAUAUUUUCAAAAGACAUUUAUAAAUUUGAUUUUAGAGAAUUGCACUUGGUUUGUAACAACAUUUAUGGCUGUAAAUCUACAAAGAAACCCGUGACGGGCCAUCCAACAAACCAACAAACAAAAUAAAGACUUGAACAUGACCCCCUAGGUCAGUCGUGCAAGGGUAAUGCUGCAAAAAAAAGCGAUUUUGAGAGUUUAAAUGUACAUUAUAAUGCACCAACUAUGCAAGCAACUUCAAGCUGACUUCAAGUUGACCUCAAAGAAGUGUAACAGGAAUGACACAAUUGGGUCAGACGGAAAGCAAAAGAUGACUUUGCUCACCCCACAUCCGGUUAGCCAGCGCUGUUUCUCAUAUAGCGUGCUAGCAAAGGUCUGUGUAUAUCCUCUUCCACAAUCCGAGGACUGCUGCUGAACAUUUAAUUCUGGAAAACCAUGGAUGUUGUUGUAAGGAAUUUAACUUCACUGUUUCAGCGGCACUUGAAGCCACCAUCGUCGAGAGAUAGCUAACAAGUGAGUUCCUGUUCUUCUUCAAGACAACAGUGCCUGUGCUGUGACGAUGUGUGAAUGUGUAAAAGGAUGUAGGAUGGUCCACUCAAUUCAAUAUUUUUCAUUACAAUUCAAUCUUAUUUAUAUAGCAUAUAGCACACAUUCGAAACUUAGCCUCAGACCCUCGUAACUGAAAACCAUUAGGUUUGUCUUUAGCUUGCUAUUUAUCUAUACUCCCAUAGGGACGUGUAGAUAAAUAAUGUUCAAUUUUGACCUCAAAAUGGAUUCUAGAAGGCACGUGCAUGCAAACACACACAUUUUAUGAGCAAAAUGUACUUUAUGGUACAUUUCUUUGUUAUAUUUUUUUGUAAUUCAUUUUUCAUUAUGGAUUCUUUCCUCGCAAUAUUUUUACAUGGGCGGCAACCCCGGCGCCCUGACGCCAUUGUUAGUAUUUAUAUUUAUGUUUGGCAUGCUCCACAAUUCCUCUGCCAAAGCACUAGUCGGUGAAGAGGUUUCUCUCUCUGAGUCAGUCCCUUCCAGUCAACUUGAAACAUAACAUAGAAUAACAUCUUAGACCCAGCAGUUAUCUGUUGUUUUAUAUUAAUAAAAGAAGUAUAAAUAGACCGAGCAAACAUUUAAACAUCUAGUUUGUUAGUUGUGCACGCUCCUACUCGUAUAUAUGGUCAUAAACAAAAGCUUCUGAACUGAUAAAUAUGACAUCAUAUAAUUCAGUGGAUCACAUUUUAUUAUUUUCCUGUCCAAAAUUAGAUGAAAUAUGUAUGUAUUUUUCUUCUUUUGAUAUUUUGUUUAAAUUUGCAUGUAAAACGUUUUCUAACCGCAAUCUGAAAAGAGUCCCUGAAGUUUCUUAUCCAAUCAUUUAAAACUUUAGAGGACACAUGCAAAGAAACUGAGUGUUUAACAAUGGGAUCAACCCCACCCCCUUGCCCUCCCUCUUCUCACCCAACCAUCCCAUCCUUUCUCUAUGGUUUCCACCUCUGCCUCCUCCUUCCAUCAUCUCCCCAGGAGGCUCCAGAGGCCCUGUACAUCCCAGAUAAGACCUUCUCAGAGGGAGAAAAGAGGAGGUGGUGGAGGGGGGUAGAAUGGGUGGUGAUGGUGGAGAAGGAGAGGGGCUUCAGGGUCACCACAAUGGCACGCUCCUGAUAGCGCUAUCAGCUUAUGCUAAUCACCAGCUAAGUGUUUCAGGACGAGAGGGAGCGGCAGGGCGCUAUCCUAAAACAUGCGCCUCCUACUUAACCUGCGCCAUAUCGUGAUGAGCCCCAGCUCAUUCAAACAGCCGCCUCUCUUUAUUUAACGAGUGACGACAGUGACAAGGCACAGAGAGAGAGAGAAACGGUCCAAAUUGAUUAAUCGUGUCACAAAUUGAUGUUAAGCGCUGUCGCAGAUACGGCCCUUCUCUCUUUUUUUUGACCAACUUGGCUUUUUGAGGGUAUUGUUCUGCCAAUAAUGGCGAGGAUGGGAGGGGUUGUCGGAGCCGCUUCCGAUGUCUGGCUCGAUGGCGUGAAUACAGAGCGAGUGUGUAAUUUAAUGUAAGGCGCCAUUGUUACCUGGGCUUACUGUACAUGACAGGUGAAAGAUAAAGAAGUGUGCAGGCCAAGCUCCUCUCAACCUAUAUUUCAAGAUGAAAAACCUGGCUGAUAAAUGCACCUCAGGAACAGAAGAUUUAGAUAAAAGUCUCUGCGAAACUAAUGGGAGACUUCAGUGUCUCAGUGAAGCAUUUACGCGCCACCAAAAGAGAAGGAUGAGACCUUUUUGCUCAAUCACUUAGUGCGUUCAUCUUGAAUCUUUCCUCUUGCUCUACACAGGCUUUCAGUCUUUUUCAAACUGAUUUAUAUUCAUCUCACCCUCCCUCUGAUGAUUUCAGUAAAACUUAUUUCCCGUGAAACUUCCUCACUAUAUCUGCCAGUGCAGUGUGGGAUCAGAACUGUGUGAGGGGGGAUACAAUUAAAUCUUCAUUUAAAGAAAAAACAGAAGUUAUUUAAGUGAUUUACUGACUUUUCCAGAGCAGUGAUGGGCUCAGGAAUCUGAUUUCUGAUCAAACAGACAAAUCCAUCUGCUUACUUUUAACCAGUUUGUUGUUUUUAACUAAGCAGCUACCUGUGUGGUCAAAAGUUCCUCAAAUGGCCACUUGAGGCUGGCUCAAAAAUGAGUCAACUUCCAAAGACUUCAAUGUUAAAAUGUCCAGAUUUAUAGUGUAGUUAUAGCCUUGAUAAAAUCCGGUCAAAUUACAGUAACUUUCAUAACAGCUUUACCCAGCUACUGUCUGUUAGGCCUCACCUACUCUAUUUAGAGUCACUGACAUCAACCUCUCCACCAGGUUUGCACUGUUGGUGGCUUUUGGAGCAUUUUUAAUGCUCAAACAGUUGCUGCUCUUGCUGUGUGGUGCAAAAAUGUCCAAGAGGUCUGUGUUUCAGUCAUGGUGAGUCAAUUUUCUUUCUCGACCAUAAAAGGUUGAUGGGGUAUUUUUAUCACCUGGCCGGGCAGCAAGGACACUUUGUGAACAUGGUAACUCGAGAUGUAGGAUUUUCAAAUUAAGACCUUAGGUGCAGCUACUAGAACUCUCAUACAAUUUUAAAUUUCAGUGACCUUGACCUCAAGGUCAAGAUCAAAGGUCAUGUUCUUCAAAAUGAUUGCAAAAACUCAGCUAGGAUUUUCAAAUUUGUAACAUAGGUGCAUCCACUAGGAGGCUGAGGUGUAGCAUGAACAACAAUAUAACUUUAUGGGUCACCACAGUGGCUCAUCUGCCUCCACCUCACCCCAUCUUGAAUGUCCUACU